rnacentral:rRNA from 1 species
GACAGAGGAGCCAAGCGUUGUCCGGAUUGACUGGGCGUAAAGCGCACGCAGGCGGAUGCGCGCGUGGGGUGUGAAAUCUGGCCGCUUAACGGCCAGGCGCCAUCCCAUACGGCGCGUCUGGAGUGAUGCAGAGGUCGAUGGAAUUGCCGGUGUAGUGGUGAAAUGCGUAGAGAUCGGCAGGAACACCCAGGGGGAAACCAGUGGACUGGCACGGUGCUGACGCUCAGGUGCGAAAGCGUGGGGAGCGAACCGG